CGAAAACGGAUACUACAAAAUCUGUCAGGGACGCAACGUUUGCGGGGUUGACUCCAUGGUGUCAACGGUUGCCGCGGUUCAUACCACCUCCCAGUAGGCAAUGGAUGGUAAUGACAUUCCAACCUAGUUGGUCUCUGUACAGAAAGACCUUCAAGCUCUCAGAUUCUCAUACAUUCAAGCUCUCAGAUAUUCCACGGCUUAAAGAGAAAUUGUUAUGUACCAUGCUUGGCAAAUUUAGAAUGUCAUUUAUAUUUUUAUGGUAUGUUUCUGAAAAUUUGAGACUGUGUUGGGAAACCUUGAAUGCUACUUACGUGAUGUUGCU
rnacentral:lncRNA from 1 species